UACGGAGGGAGCUAGCGUUAUUCGGAAUUACUGGGCGUAAAGCGCACGUAGGCGGCUUUGUAAGUUAGAGGUGAAAGCCUGGAGCUCAACUCCAGAAUUGCCUUUAAGACUGCAUCGCUUGAAUCCGGGAGAGGUGAGUGGAACUGCGAGUGUAGAGGUGAAAUUCGUAGAUAUUCGCAAGAACACCAGUGGCGAAGGCGGCUCACUGGCCCGGUACUGACGCUGAGGUGCGAAAGCGUGGGGAGCAAACAGG
rnacentral:rRNA from 1 species